rnacentral:rRNA from 1 species
AUUGAACGCUGGCGGCGUGCCUAACACAUGCAAGUCGAGCGGUAACAGGUGUAGCAAUACAUGCUGACGAGCGGCGAACGGGUGAGUAAUGCUUCGGAAUCUACCCAAUGGUGGGGAAUAACCAGCCGAAAGGUUGGCUAAUACCGCAUACGUCCCACGGGAGAAAGCAGGGGAUCGCAAGACCUUGCGCCAAUGGAUGAGCCGAAGUCGGAUUAGCUAGUUGGAGGGUAACGGCCUACCAAGGCGACGAUCCGUAGCUGGUCUGAGAGGACGACCAGCCACACUGGGACUGAGACACGGCCCAGACUCCUACGGGAGGCAGCAGUGGGGAAUAUUGGACAAUGGGGGAAACCCUGAUCCAGCGACGCCGCGUGUGUGAAGAAGGCCUGCGGGUUGUAAAGCACUUUUAGUGGGGAUGAAAUGUUCAGGGUUAACACCUCUGG